AGUGAACGCUGGCGGCGUGCCUAACACAUGCAAGUCGAACGAUGAUAGAGAGCUUGCUCUCUUGAUUAGUGGCGCACGGGUGAGUAUACCAUAGAUAAUGUACCUCUUAGUUCGGGAUAGCCACUGGAAACGGUGAUUAAUACCGGAUACUCCUUCUUGUCUUAAGGCAAGUCGGGAAAGUUUUUUCGCUAAGAGAUCAGUCUAUGUCCUAUCAGCUAGUUGGUGAGGUAAUGGCGCACCAAGGCAAUGACGGGUAUCUGGUUUGAGAGGAUGAUCAGACACACUGGAACUGAGACACGGUCCAGACUCCUACGGGAGGCAGCAGUGAGGAAUAUUGCACAAUGGAGGAAACUCUGAUGCAGCAACGCCGCGUGGAGGAUGACGCAUUUCGGUGUGUAAACUCCUUUUAAGAGGGAAGAUAAUGACGGUACCUCUUGAAUAAGCACCGGCUAACUCCGUGCCAGCCGCCGCAGUAACAC
rnacentral:rRNA from 1 species